GGGUGCGGGCUAGAGGAGCAAGCGGAAUGAAUUGAAUAUGGAACUUCUGUAGGAGAAGUCUGAGUGACCAUUAUCUAGGAUACAGGAGAAAGAAGUGUAACUAUCACAAAUUAAACGAAACCUCUGUGUCUCGAGGCACUGUACCUCUCUGAAUAUUUAUGCAAGGACAUACAACAAAGAAAGAAGAAUUGUUCCCUUUGCGUCUUGAUGGCAAGCUUUCUGGAGGCAUCUGCCUGAUGUCUCUAGAACUGGAACAUUAGACCGGGUGGAUGGUUGAUCAGUUAGCAGUUACCCCUGCUAACUGGGCAAAGAGGCACCUUUUACCGUGGUGAUUCUCUUUAUUUAGCAGGGGGAGAGUAACUGGCCCUAUCCACCCCCAGCACAGUACCUCCAGUGACUGUUGCUGGUGUCUAUCUGAUGUUUCUUUUUAGAUUGUGAGCCCUUUGGGGACAGGGAGCCAUCUUAUUGAUUUGUUAUCUUUCUUUGUAAACCGCCCUGAGCCAUUUUUGGAAGGGCGGUAUAGAAAUCGAAUUAAUAGUAAUAAUAAUAAUAAAAGACUCAUUUUGUUCAGGAAGGAGAAUAUAGGCAUAAAAAGUCUAAGUUAAUUUAGUGUUCUUACAAUCUACCUAAUUCUGAGUCUGAUAAACCACUACCAACACCUGAAGUGUAAAUUUAUGCAAGGUCAACUUUAUCUUUUUUAAAAAUUGUACUUGAGCACACAGAGUGUGGUAAACAGUUACUAUUUUUUCUGCAUUCAUGACUGCACUCUAAUAAAACCUUUUUAAAAUUACUUUUUUCCUGUAACCAAUAGUUUUUCAGGAUUCUAGAGGAUAAGAACAUAAGAAUAGCCCUGCUGGAUCAGGCUCAAGGCCCAUCUAGUCCAGCAUCCUGUUUCGCACAGUGGCCCACCAGAUGCCGCUGGAAGCCACAGGCAGGAGUUGAGGGCGUGCCCUCUCUCCUGCCAUUGCUCCCCUGCAACUGGUACUCAGAGGCACACCUUUGAUGAAAUAUUGAAAAAGCUGGAUGAUCCACUGAAUUUUGAAGGAAAUCCUGCCUUCAAAAGAAGACUGGCUGAUAAAAAUUUUGGAAUAUGCGGAGAUGGCAAAAGUUACAGCACUAUUAAGAGAUCAAAACUUGGAAUGUUUUAAAGAAGAUUGGAAACCAUUUUUGUUGUAUUUAAAAAAUUACUUCCCUACUAUGGACUUUACAGCAGGGUUUGAAAUUUAGUAUAAAUCGCAGAUGUAUUCAGGGAAGUAUUCUGGCCAGGGUGAUGCUGAAGGAGUGCACCAACUGGACAAAUAGUAAGAUAUACAAAAAGCAUGGCUUUUGUCAUCAAACUGCCAGGCCUCCUGAUUAUUCUGGAAACACUGGUAUGAGCUUACUGCUCAAAACAACGACAACACUUCUGCCCUCCAGUCAUCUAGAUAGUCUCUAGAUGUAUAAGUGAGAAGAUGAGUGAUGCCCACAAACCUAGCUGGAUUAAUGUUGUAUGCUUAGUGUUCACUGUGAAUACAUUUGCUUCUUAAUGAAAAUAAAACUUGAGAAGAGACUAGUUGUUCAGUUAUGAAACUGAGCAGUGCCAAAAAGCUGCUUGCUCGACUGUAUAUACAUUAAGAGUUAUGCUUAACUAACAAGCAGAAGGUUGCCGUUCCGAAUCCCCACUGGUAUAUUUCCCAGACUAUGCGGAACAUCUAUAUCUGGCAGCAGUGAUAUAGGAUAGGAAGAUUCUGAAAGGCAUCAUCUCAUACUGCACAGGAGGAGGCAAUGGUAAACCCCUCUUUUAUUCUACUAAAGAAAAUCACAGGGCUCUGUUGGCACCAAGAGUCGAAGUCGACCUGACGGCACAGUUUACCUUACAAAGACCUUGGAAAGGAAAGGUGCCUAAGCAACAUGUGACUAAAAUUCUUCAGUAGAAAGCCAGAAAAGAACAUGGGAAACUGGUGAAGCUUUGUGUACUUGUGGAAUAAGGUCUUAAUAAAAAGGUUGCAUAUAA